rnacentral:rRNA from 1 species
GCUUGUCUCAAAGAUUAAGCCAUGCAUGUCUAAGUAUAAAUGGUAUACAGUGAAACUGCGAAUGGCUCAUUAAAACAGUUAUAGUUUAUUUGGUAUUCGAAUUUACAUGGAUAACCGUGGUAAUUCUAGAGCUAAUACAUGCAUUACGCCUGACUUUUCGGAAGGGCAGUAUUUAUUAGAUAACAGACCAGCAGCUUCGGCUAUUGUGGUGAAUCAUAGUAACUAAUCGGAUCGCAUGGGCUAGUCCCGCGACAAACCAUUCAAGUUUCUGCCCCAUCAGCUUUGGAUGGUAGGGUAUUGGCCUACCAUGGCUUUAACGGGUAACGGAGAAUUAGGGUUCGAUUCCGGAGAGGGAGCCUGAGAAAUGGCUACCACAUCCAAGGAAGGCAGCAGG